rnacentral:lncRNA from 1 species
CUUUGUGUCACGAGUGCUUCACACAUCCUCAGACUGCCCGAGAAAUUCACCCUGCCCUUCACCUUUGGUGCGCUUAGACCUCACCUAGCACUCAUCUGAUCAUCACUUGGUAAAGCAAGACCAGCUGUGAAUAAUGACAUGUUGUUCCUCAGUGAGCACCCACAGGUAAUUAAUGGCCCCACCUCCCAGGGGAGGUUGUGCCAGACCAUGCAAAGAGCCAGCCUAACUCUGGAGAAGCCAAACCAGGAGCUGGCAGAGGAACACAGUGGAAAUGGAAUACACCCCACUCUGAAUUAGUGAGCUUGGUUCAUCAGCCCAGUACACCUGACAACUUGCUUGUUACAUCUUUAUCUUGUUCUUUGCAGGGCUAGGCUAAGUGGUCCUUCAAGACUCAAAGGCUGAGAAGCACCAGUCUGUGCUUGGAAAUGGGACACAGAGACAUACCUAAGUGCGAUGGUGUGCCUGGCAGCAACCUGGGGAGCACGGCUGGACCCCCACAGCUGGGUGUGUGAGCGUUGCACAGAUUCCGUAAGGACAGGCUCCAUGACACCGAUGCAGUGGAAAAUGAGCUGGAGACACGUUCUCUGCAGCCGUGCAGGAUGUCUGUCCCCAUCUACACAGGGGCACACCAGUGACACAGCGCAGUGCCUGCCUGCAUUUAGGGACACGUGCCAUAUCAGCCUGAUGGUCUGUUCUGAACCUCUGCCUUCUUCAGCCCUGGUGGUGCCCCAUGCCUUGGACACGUAGCGGGACCCCACGAGUGUUCCCAAGCACUGAGGGUAGACAGAACCAG